rnacentral:rRNA from 1 species
UACGUAGGGUGCGAGCGUUAAUCGGAAUUACUGGGCGUAAAGCGUGCGCAGGCGGUUCGUUGUGUCGGUGGUGAAAGCCCCGGGCUCAACCUGGGAAUGGCCAUGGAAACUGGCGAACUGGAGUGUGGCAGAGGGGGGUGGAAUUCCGCGUGUAGCAGUGAAAUGCGUAGAGAUGCGGAGGAACACCGAUGGCGAAGGCAAUCCCCUGGGCCUGCACUGACGCUCAUGCACGAAAGCGUGGGGAGCAAACAGG